rnacentral:tRNA from 1 species
UCUAAUAUGGCAGAUUAGUGCAUUAGAUUUAAACUCUAAAUAUAAAAUUAGAUUUAAUUUUUAUUAGAA